UAUGAAAAUUCCCUAGUUGCUAUUGUGGAGUUGCCGUACUGCCGAAAACAAUCCCCGUUACUUUGAAUGAGAAGCUCGUGUAGAGAAGUAAAGUGAAAAGAAAAUAAAAGCUGAAAUUUAUAAUAAAACUAAAAACAUAGAUACAUCAUGUCGCAAAAGGAAGUCAAGGAUUCCAGCGGAAAAUUUACGCAGAAAAUGUAAGUAGACUUUGAAUUUUUUUCUGCAUGAGGGUCGGGGUUUCCUGGAAACACAGCAUCAAUAGCUUAACGCCGGAGCACGGCCAUCGCUGGUAAGUAAUUGUAAGGAGACUACAUAUACUUAUAAAUGUAAUUCUAAAUCCUUACGCGCCAAACUUUUGUAUGCCAAGUUCCCAUCGUAUCCCCCUUCCCCACUUCCCCCACAAUCCCGAACCAAACCCUCGCUGGAGGUCCCUGCUCGCUAAUGCACAACAUCGGGGACUCGGUCUACAUGGUGCUGGAGUUUAUGUGGCGCGCCGACUUACAGUAGCAAGCUGCUGAGCGAGGAGACGUCGAAGCUAUACUGCUACCAAAUGUGUCCUUGCACAAGUACCUUCACGAUCGAGGUAAGACAAUUUUAAAAAUCAAUUUGCACUUAGAUAUUUUGUUAUUUUCAAAUAAUUAUUGCACGCUAAGUAGCUUUGCUUAUUGAUGUAGUACUCUUUUGACGAGAAGACCGAAGGACUUCGAUUGCGGGCUGAGCAAGUUCGCCCAAAAGGAGUUGGUAAUGCGAACACUUUGCGGCAAAUUUGAAUAACCAUUACGAGUGUGAUUUAAUAACCAACUUAUUUGUUUUUAGAAGAGUCCGGAACGCCCAGCAAAUGAAAAGGCAAGUUCCUCAAUGGACACCACGCAUGGAAGGGUGUAUCACUGAAGCGCCUCAAGUUCUUAGAGCUAUCUCUGCACGGUAACAACCUCACCAUUUCGGAGACAUCUAUCUUCAGCGAUACACUAUUCCAGAGCCCUCAUCAAUGCUUCUCCCGCGAAUACCGGGCCAGCUCCCAUCAGCACGCCCAAGCGGGCACACAGUCCUUAGCAGGUUUCAUCUGAGAUAGACGAUUGUAAGACCUUGUCAACGGCGUCGAAUAAGAGCUUCGAAUUCACCAGUUAAACAUCUUGCCUUGGCCACAAAAAGUACAUCAGUCCGUCGGCCGUGAAGAGGAAACUGAAGCGCCUCUAGUUUUCCAAGCUGUCCCUCAGAGCAGAUCAAGGAUGUGAGUUUGCAAUGCGACGGUAUAGUCAUGGAACUACAGCAGUUACAGGGGCGCGAACCGUACUCGAAUCGGCAGGGAAAGAAAAUAAUUGUCAAUGUCAAGAAGCUCUUCCUGUCCCCUGGGGAGCCCAAGAACCCCACCGGUCUGCCCAAGCUGGCGUAGGGUCGAGAAGUCCGGAGAGCACAUUUUUGCCGGUUCCGGUGAGCCGCAUUUGGAGAUCUGUCUGAAGGAUCAAGCAUGACUACGAUGUGACCGAGGCCUGUAAGAACUAUUGGAAAUGCCUUCCCUCACUGCGUGUUCGACCAUUGGCAGGUGCAACACUACACCAAGUCUCUGGUUCAGCAAUCGAAACCUAUGCUCGCCGAUCAUACACAGCGCCUGCAGAGUGCCGACAUCCUGGUUAAGGAUCUGUAGGUGGAGCGGAGGUAGCAGCAACGGGCUAGGGCGAACCUUACCCAGGAGACAUCGAACUUGCGAUUAUUUAUAUAUCGUUAUAAAUGCUGAGUCAUUUACAUACAACACUCGGUAGAUUAAGCUUACCCUGCAGUUCCACAAUUGAGCUAAGCGCCCAAUCAUCACGAA